GACGAACGCUGGCGGCGUGCUUAACACAUGCAAGUCGAACGGAAAGGCCCUGCUUUUGUGGGGUGCUCGAGUGGCGAACGGGUGAGUAACACGUGAGUAACCUGCCCCUGACUUUGGGAUAACUUCAGGAAACUGGGGCUAAUACCGGAUAGGAGCUCCUGCUGCAUGGUGGGGGUUGGAAAGUUUCGGCGGUUGGGGAUGGACUCGCGGCUUAUCAGCUUGUUGGUGGGGUAGUGGCUUACCAAGGCUUUGACGGGUAGCCGGCCUGAGAGGGUGACCGGCCACAUUGGGACUGAGAUACGGCCCAGACUCCUACGGGAGGCAGCAGUGGGGAAUAUUGCACAAUGGGCGGAAGCCUGAUGCAGGAACGCCGCGUGCGGGAUGACGGCCUUCGGGUUGUAAACCGCUUUCGCCUGUGACGAAGCGUGAGUGACGGUAAUGGGUAAAGAAGCACCGGCUAACUACGUG
rnacentral:rRNA from 1 species